rnacentral:rRNA from 1 species
UACGAAGGGGGCUAGCGUUGCUCGGAAUCACUGGGCGUAAAGGGUGCGUAGGCGGGUUUUUAAGUCAGGGGUGAAAUCCUGGAGCUCAACUCCAGAACUGCCUUUGAUACUGAGGAUCUUGAGUUCGGGAGAGGUGAGUGGAACUGCGAGUGUAGAGGUGAAAUUCGUAGAUAUUCGCAAGAACACCAGUGGCGAAGGCGGCUCACUGGCCCCGAUACUGACGCUGAGGCACGAAAAGCGUGGGGGAGCAAACAGGG